rfam:Erinaceus europaeus unplaced genomic scaffold scaffold00740, whole genome shotgun sequence
CAAAAGGCUCUUUUCAGAGCCACCCACUGAUCUCUAGCAAAAGAG